GUUGUUCUUGAUUACUUUUCUGGAUUUCUGCAUCCUCACAAGAGCAGAGAAAUUCGUCGAUUGCCUUCUUGUCGACAGAUAUAUCUGCUUCUGCAGCUGCAGUUCCAUUGCUUUUCUGACUUGAUGCAUUGGAAUUAAGGCAGUUAUAUAAUGCCUGCAUUGUGCUUAUUGAAGAUAGUUGGGAACAGAGCAUCUUUGCAGGAAGCAAGAUUGACCACAAUUAGCAAGCCAUGAUCUCCACAUUUUCCUCGUCUUCAUCACCAUUUAUUAUUCAGAUAGACAAAUUAGAAUUUGUACCUCAGUUUCAUGAUCAAACUUUUAUAUCAUC